GACUUGGCAGAGAGGUUAUCUGUCCCUCGCUGACCGUCCCUGCCUGUCCGCUGCAGAGAGAACAGAGAUCUGUUAGGGAGGGGAGACGUAUUUGUCCCUGAUUCUAAUUCGAAUUUUAGAGAGUGUCUGUGGGAAUUUGUACUCAUUCAGUCAAAAGAGUAUUUGUAAGGCAGACAUUGGAUGAGAAGGUCUGUCUCACAAUCGGCGUUCUACUUCAUCUCCAAAGUGUUCAAUGAGACUGAGAUCAGACUGUCCAGGAGUUGGCGGCUGCUUUAGUCCAG